rnacentral:rRNA from 1 species
CCCUAUGGGGCGCGGCAUGAGACGCUUGAUCGGCUUGAUUCUGCUUCUGGCUUGUGUCGGGUGCUUCCAACAAGCCGAAGCCGCCUCAAAAAUCUUCAAUUCCGCCACUGGAAUGAUUGACGCUGAGAUCAGUUCAGACCAUGCCGAUAACGUAAUGAAUCUCGGAGUUAAUACGACACUCCGCAUGGGUGAAGACAUCAACAAACUAUUCUUCGGCGAUUACUCAAUGGAUGAUACGUUGACGGCCCUUGGGACGAUUACCGUCGCUUCGACCUAUGUCAUCUACAUGACUGGCGGGAAUACGGACACUACGGCUGAUACGUCAUACCUAUAUCUCUCUGGUAUUGCCGACAAGCGGGAUUGGUUGGAAACCCAGGUGACGCACAAUAGUUACAAGACGGGAGCGGCGUGGACUGCGGCGGGAGGGC